AUGAAUUUGAAUGUUGAUUAUUUCUUGUAGGUUUCAAUUGUUUUUGUUUUCGAUUGCAGCAAGACUUCUUUAAGUGGAAAUAUUGGUUGACAAUGGCUUUUAUUAGGCUUCUGUUUUUGUUAUAAGAUUUCAAUUUAAAUUGAACAAGUUUGGACGGUAGGUUUUUGUAAUAUGUUGUUGGGAGUUUCAUAAAUAGUGACAAGGGG
rnacentral:misc_RNA from 1 species